rnacentral:rRNA from 1 species
UAGCUGUUNUGAGAGGAUGACCAGCCACACUGGAAGUGAGACACGGUCCAGACUCUUACGGGAGGCAGCAGYGGGGAAUAUUGCACAAUGGGCGCAAGCCUGAUGCAGCAAUGCCGCGUGAAUGAAGAAGGCUUUCGGCUUGUAAAGUACUUUCAGCGGGGAGGAAGGGAGUAAAGUUAAUACCUUUGCUAAUUGACGUUACCCGCAGAAGAAGCACCGGCUAAAUCCGUGCCAGCAGCCGCGGUAAUACGGAGGGUGCAAGCGUUAUUCGGAAUUACUGGGCGUAAAGCGCACGCCAGGCGGUUUGUUAAGUCAGAUGUGAAAUCCCCGGGCUCAACCUGGGAAUUGCAUUUGAUACUGGCAAGCUUGAGUSUAGUAGAGGGGGGUAGAAUUCCAGGUGUAGCGGUGAAAUGCGUAGAGAUUUGGAGGAAUACCGGUGGCGAAGGCGGCCCCCUGGACGAAGACUGACGCUCAGGUGCGAAAGCGUGGGGAGCAAACAGGAUUAGAUACCCUGGUAUGUCCACGCCGUAAACGAUGUCGACUUGGAGGUGGUGCCCUUGAGGCGUGGCUUCCGGAGCUAACGCGUUAAGUAGUCCGCCUGGGGAGUACGGCCGCAAGGUUGAAACUCAAAUGAAUUGACGGGGGCCCGCACAAGCGGUGGAGCAUGUGGUUUAAUUCGANGCAACGCGAAGAACCUUACCUGGUCUUGACAUCCACGGAAAUUUUCAGAGAUGAGAAUGUGCYUUCGGGAACMGUGAGACAGGUGGUGCAUGGCUGUCGUCAGCUCGUUUGUGAAAUGUUGGGUUAAUUCCCGCAAGGAGCGCAACCCUUAUCUUUUGUUSCCAGCGGUCCGGCCGGGAACUCAAAGGAGACUGCCAGUGAUAAACUGGAGGAAGGUGGGGAUGACGUCAAGUCAUCAUGCCCCUUACGACCAGGGCUACACACGUGCUACAAUGGCGCAUACAAAGAGAAGCGACCUCGCGAGAGCAAGCAGACCUCUAUAAAGUGCGUCGUAGUCCGGAUUGGAGUCUGCAACUCGACUACAUGUAGUCGGAAUCGCUAGUAAUCGUGGAUCAGAAUGCCACGGUGAAUACGUUCCCGGUCCUUGUACACACCGCCCKUCACACCAUGGGAGUGGGUURCACCAGAAGU